CACGUGACGCUAGCGGAGGGUGGCUGGCCGACCGUAGGCCACCGGGUAGCAGGUGCAGUGAACAGUGCAGCCUGGGGUCGCGGAGGAGGCAGAUAAUCCGGCCCUACUAAAGAUGUCCUGCAGAGAUAACAGAAGAGCGAGAAGGGAUUUUAGGGCAAUCUUCCGUAGCGGAGUGGGGCCCUCAAUGCUUCUCAUGCAUCCAGCGCACCACCUUGCUAGUUGCUGAGAGCACGCAGUAGAAUGGGAAGCUUGUCGUUAACCUUGGAUUGCUUGCACUCAGACUGUUGAGAGCUGGGAAAGAUGUGACUACCUAGUUCAAGCCUACUGCGGAUCAGGCAACUAAGCCAUAGAAGGAUUGGUAAAGGGGCCUCCCCAAGGUCCCACAACUAGGUUGUGGGAAAGCUGGGACUCUGGUGGCUUGUAAUCCCGAAGCAUGUAUUCAUGGGUGCCUCUCUGCUGACACCCUUGUCUCUAUAGACUGUAAGCUCCUAGAGAGCGGGGAUCAUUUUUCUCUGGAAGACUGUUCAACUUUAUACCUCACACUCCAAAUGCUAAAUAAAAGUGCUCGGUAAAUA